GACGAACGCUGGCGGCGUGCCUAACACAUGCAAGUCGAGCGGAGAUAUUAGCAAUAAUAUCUUAGCGGCGGACGGGUGAGUAACGCGUGGGCAACCUGCCUCAGACAGGGGGAUAACACAGGGAAACUUGUGCUAAUACCGCAUAAAAUCAAAGGAGGACAUCCUCUAAUGAUCAAAGGAGCAAUCCGGUUUGAGAUGGGCCCGCGUCCAAUUAGCUAGUUGGUGAUGUAACGGACCACCAAGGCGACGAUUGGUAGCCGAACUGAGAGGUUGAUCGGCCACAUUGGGACUGAGACACGGCCCAGACUCCUACGGGAGGCAGCAGUGGGGAAUAUUGCGCAAUGGGGGAAACCCUGACGCAGCAACGCCGCGUGAAGGAUGAAGGUUUUCGGAUUGUAAACUUCUUUGAUGAGGGACGAAAAAAAUGACGGUACCUCAAAAACAAGCCACGGCUAACUACGUGCCAGCAGCCGCGGUAAUACGUAGGUGGCGAGCGUUGUCCGGAAUUACUGGGUGUAAAGGGCGUGUAGGCGGGAAAGCAAGUCAGAUGUGAAAUACCGAGGCUUAACUUCGGGGCUGCAUCUGAAACUGUUUUUCUUGAGUGUCGGAGAGGAAAGUGGAAUUCCCAGUGUAGCGGUGAAAUGCGUAGAUAUUGGGAGGAACACCAGUGGCGAAGGCGACUUUCUGGACGAUAACUGACGCUGAGGCGCGAAAGCGUGGGGAGCAAA
rnacentral:rRNA from 2 species